CAUUCUCAUAAGUGGACUCGAGAAAAUGCCUCAUGCGUGUGCUGCUUGGGGCUGUACAAACCGCCGCACAAUUGAAAAUAGGUCUCGGGGAAUUACUUUUCACAGGUAAGACUGAAAAGUUGUUGACUGACACUGAUCUGGUUGUAUUUGGUCAUUAAAACAUUAUGUUCACACAACUUGACAGUAAUUGACCGUCGGAGUCAGACUAUUAAUAGCUAGUGAUAUCGCUAUUUAGCUGAAAGUCUAGGAAACCAGAAAUGUUACAUUCUUUCUUAUAUAGUUUUAGCGUAUGAUAAAUUCUGUAUCAUAAACUAAAUUGCCCGUAAUCGAGAUAUUCAUUUAUAUUGCCGUUUUUUUUUCUCAAAACUGACUCUUGUGCCGACCUACUCGUUUCGGCUAAGCAGCAUGAAUCUAAUUUAACGUUAACCGUUAGUAGUUGGCUAGCUGACAUUAGCUAACUCUUCUCACACAUUGAAGGUUUCCCAAAAACAAAGAGUUGAGGAGGCAGUGGGAAGUAGCUCUAAGAAGAGAAGGGUUUUCCGCAAGCGUGUCCUCCGUGCUAUGCAAUGAACACUUCAAGCCGGAGGACUUUGAGGACAGGUCAAAUUGUGAGGAUUAGGGAUGGAGCUAAACCAUCGAUCUUCAGCUUUCCCCCUCAUCUACAAAGAGUAGGUUUUAUCGUCACUGGAUUAUAAGGAUUUGAUAGCUUGUCAUUAAAUAGUUAGUGACAUAUAUUUAAUAUUUAUUUUAGCCUGUGGCAACCAGGAAAACAGGCCUCGAGGAAAGCUGAGGAGAGCUGGUCAGUGGACUGUUCUCAGAUUUUCCAAGAGAUCGAGCCUCCUCUGCCUAAUGUUGACCACCCCUAUGCAUUGCCUGCAUCUCCCACUGGUCUAAAGACCAGACUCUGUGAAGCCUUGGCUAGAGUGGAGAGUCUAGAGCACGAGUUGAGGAAUGUAAAGGACCGGGAACGGAGGGCAAAGAAGACUGUGUGCUUCUAGAGGAUCUGCAGGGAAAGAACCUCAUAAAUGAAGAUCUGAAAGAGAGACUCAGUUUCUACUCUGGUAAAAUGAAAAUAACAUCUUUUUAGACUCUG
rnacentral:lncRNA from 1 species